AGUGAACGCUGGCGGUAGGCCUAACACAUGCAAGUCGAACGGCAGCACAGUAAGAGCUUGCUCUUACGGGUGGCGAGUGGCGGACGGGUGAGGAAUACAUCGGAGUCUACUUUUUCGUGGGGGAUAACGUAGGGAAACUUACGCUAAUACCGCAUACGACCUACGGGUGAAAGCAGGGGAUCUUCGUACCUUGCGCGAUUGAAUGAGCCGAUGUCGGAUUAGCUAGUUGGCGGGGUAAAGGCCCACCAAGGCGACGAUCCGUAGCUGGUCUGAGAGGAUGAUCAGCCACACUGGAACUGAGACACGGUCCAGACUCCUACGGGAGGCAGCAGUGGGGAAUAUUGGACAAUGGGCGCAAGCCUGAUCCAGCCAUACCGCGUGGGUGAAGAAGGCCUUCGGGUUGUAAAGCCCUUUUGUUGGGAAAGAAAAGCAGCAGGUUAAUACCCCGCUGUUCUGACGGUACCCAAAGAAUAAGCACCGGCUAACUUCGUG
rnacentral:rRNA from 1 species